rfam:Nitrococcus mobilis Nb-231 scf_1099646003885 genomic scaffold, whole genome shotgun sequence.
UCUGCCGCGAGGCGGGAUCUGAAGGCAGCUGUAGGCAAACUUCCCGGCCCGACGAGCAGGAACUGCAUACGAGGAAGGCACGCCUGGGUGAGGGGCGCCAAAAGAGCUGAAACCCGAUACUACCCGGAAGCCGUGAGUGCAAAUGCGGCGGGGGCACCGAGGUUCACGAU